rnacentral:piRNA from 1 species
UAACAAGUGUGUCACAAGAUGAUUGUUC